GUUUCGCCGCCAGUUCUUAUUUCUUUUUCGAAGAAAUCUGCGGUGGAUCCAGGCGGAGUUGGGCCGAUGGGAUUCUGCAGCUCAGCAUUCCAGCUACAAGCAGAACGGAUGUGUCUGUAUUACAGGGCACACGGUCAUGAACCUGAAAAUGUUCGCCCGAAAGGUUAAGAUGCCCCAUGAAGCUCUAAUGAG